AGCAGCCGCGGUAAUUCCAGCUCCAAUAGCGUAUAUUAAAGUUGUUGCAGUUAAAAAGCUCGUAGUUGAAUUUCGGGGUUAGUAGGUUGGUCAUGCCUCUGGUAUGUACUGGUCUCACUGAUUCCUCCUUCCUGAUGAGCCGUAAUGCCAUUAAUUUGGUGUUGCGGGGAAUUUGGACUGUUACUUUGAAAAGAUUAGAGUGUUUAAAGCAAGCUAACGCUUGAAUACAUUAGCAUGGAAUAAUGAAAUAGGACGUUCGAUCCUAUUUUGUUGGUUUCUAGGAUUGACGUAAUGAUUAAUAGGGAUAGUUGGGGGCAUUAGUAUUCAAUUGUCAGAGGUGAAAUUCUUGGAUUUAUUGAAGACUAACUACUGCGAAAGCAUUUGCCAAGGAUGUUUUCAUUAAUCAAGAACGAAAGUUAGGGGAUCGAAGACGAUCAGAUACCGUCGUAG
rnacentral:rRNA from 1 species